GCUUUCAAAACCAUUAAUGUUAACCCAAAAGAAAGUGUUUUGAGAAGUGAAAAUGCUAACAAUACUACCGCUCUGGAAGCUUGCCUGGAAGAAAGCAGAGAUCUGCUACAGCUUCAAGUCACCAGCACCUCUGCGUUCUACACCUACCUCAUCCUGCUCUUCAAGAGUGCGGUCCACUUGGCCUUCAUUGUAUUCUGUCUGUACAGAAGAGCAGCUGGGCCUCGUGAUGCUCCAAGUUCAUAACGGAUGAUGAAAUGGAAGGGUGAUGUUGCUGUCAUCCUGCUCUGCACCUCAGUAUCUGCUGAGGCUCUAGCUGGGCUUGCUUGUUAGCUCUGGCUCCUCAAGGUCACAUGUGUGUAAUCUUCUUUCAAUACUGUGCAAAUGCACUCAAAGCAGAGAGGAAAUUGCUUAACUGCCCUCUACAACAGUAGCCCAAGGAAGCAGUCGGCCAUCCUGACCCAUCCUGUCUCAGCCCCUCCACAGCACAGAGCAUCUCGGGCUUAAUGUGCAGACUGCAGCUUCUUGUCACCCCACUUCAUGCCCUACAACCAGAUAAUGCCCCCAAAGCCUCU